rnacentral:piRNA from 1 species
UAGCAGUUUCUUAAAUGCCUCUGUACUGUU